AUUGAACGCUGGCGGCAUGCCUUACACAUGCAAGUCGAACGGUAACAGGUCUUCGGAUGCUGACGAGUGGCGAACGGGUGAGUAAUACAUCGGAACGUGCCCGAUCGUGGGGGAUAACGGAGCGAAAGCUUUGCUAAUACCGCAUACGAUCUACGGAUGAAAGCAGGGGACCGCAAGGCCUUGCGCGGACGGAGCGGCCGAUGGCAGAUUAGGUAGUUGGUGGGAUAAAAGCUUACCAAGCCGACGGUCUGUAGCUGGUCUGAGAGGACGACCAGCCACACUGGGACUGAGACACGGCCCAGACUCCUACGGGAGGCAGCAGUGGGGAAUUUUGGACAAUGGGCGAAAGCCUGAUCCAGCCAUGCCGCGUGCAGGAUGAAGGCCUUCGGGUUGUAAACUGCUUUUGUACGGAACGAAAAGACUCUUUCUAAUAAAGAGGGUCCAUGACGGUACCGUAAGAAUAAGCACCGGCUAACUACGUG
rnacentral:rRNA from 1 species